CUCUCACUAGCCCAACAGGAGGAGCACAGAGGACAAGACCAGCCACUACCAGGCCCCAAGAAAGAACGCAACUCCUCUGGCAGAAUACACACCACCCAAGAGCCUACUGGAUAUUCUGCUCCUGCACAGUCUUCCUGAUCAUCCUUGUUAAAUUAGACUGUAGAAUUAUUCCACCAGGAUGAAUCAUGAUGGCUGGUUAAAUUCCUCCCCUACAGUUCGAUGAGGAGCGCGUUCCUCCCCCAGCGCUGGCCCCGUGGAAAGGGCCCGGAGAGCAUUUAGACACCUGCAGACCCACAGUGGCGGUGACACGGGCAGAGCCACAGGAGACAGGGCCACGUGUGCGUCAGCUCUGCAUGCUAACCAGUGACUCAGCCACCCAGGGGCACCGCUGCCGUGCGCACAGCACCAACCCACCCAACGUCUUCGCCCAUCUCAGCAUCCGGGGACCUCCUGAGAAAUCUCCUGUAGGUUCUUAGGGCCCCUGAGCCCUCACUCCCUGUCUGAGGCCAGGUAAUUGGCAGAGCUGAGAACUCAGAUGGCCAACAACCGUGCAUGCUCAGUCCCGGAGGCGCCACACUCUGGGCUGGGGAGGUCAAGAGUCCAGCAAGGCAGGAAGGGGCUUCUCCCUGUCCUGCCCUAGAGGCCGAGAUGGGGAGUGGACGAGAGCGGCUACCUGCGCCAUGGAGGACUCGGUGAGAGGUGCAGAUGAGGAAGUGAGAACAGGGCGCAGAGCCGGCAGCCUCAGGUCCUCCGCUGCGACUUCUCCCACUUCCCUUCUGCUGCGAGCUCUUCAGAGGCGCCUCGCGCAGGCAGGAACCUGGGCAAGUGGCCAGGAGCCAGAGCCGAGCAAAACGGCCUCAGACCCCCAUGCACCUGCUGACCGCUUCCCCGCACACGCUCCUCCAGCGUGGCGUGUCCUGGCGCACAGCUGCACGAUUUCCUCCCCAAAGUGCAAAUGCCGGGCGGGGUGGGCGCCAGGCCUGGCCAGGGCAGGCUGCCUGCAUCCCACCUGGAGCAGCCGGGUCCGGGCACACCGCCGCACCUGGCCGACACCACGGCAGACCCGAAACCGCUUCUAGAAGACAGCUUUGGCCUCUGCAAAGGGGCGGGGGCCCAGCUCGCGUUUUCACAGCAAAACUGCAGCUUCGCCCCACACAUGCCCAGCACCCGCAGUGACCAGUGCUCUUCAUAGUAAGCCAAGGCCCGAGGCAACCUGGGAGCCGCGAGCCGCCAGUCCACACAGCCUGCUCACCAGGGCCUGUCGAAGCCGGGCAGUGCCGGAGGCUGCAGGUCAGGCUACAGACCGUCUCCAAGGACUGGGCUCUCUCUGAGACCUCCAGAAAGAGAAAGGCUGGAUUUCGUUCCUCCAGCACCCCACUGAACGCCCUCGUACAAGUGUGGUGUAACACCCAGCCUCCGGCUUUCACACGCGUUAAGAACCGAGUAGACAAGAAAGGUCUGUGUGUUCUGUGAAACCAGCACCGGCAGCACCAUGCAGCACACUGCUCCUCCUACGUGGCAAAGCCCUCAGUGUUCAGUGCUGACAAAAAGCAUCUCUUUCCCGUGAGCUAGUUUACUUCUUUUUACCGGGACAAAAACACUGUGCUGUUUCCAAUUUCCCUUUUUGCCUUGGUGGCCAGGAAGCUCAGAACAAGGGUCAGCGCUGACUUACAAAAACUAACCUCUUCUGCAACACAAAUGAUGCAGGA